GUCCUGCUCUGUCAACCCGGAUGGGCGCUGGCAUAGUAGGAGUAGUAGGUGUAAGCUUUCCCCCUGUACCGUUAGCAUGCUUGUAAAGGCAGUUCAGUCCUUAGCCCGGCAUGGUGGGGGUCAUGCUCGGGAGCGCAGGAUGCCGUCAGCCAUCUGUCGUUGAUCAUCUGAUGCCGACUCUGGGUACUUGCCAGGUGCGUUGGGCGUAAAGGCGUGGAGAGCUUCCCAGCAAGGUACCAACUCUGAUGUGCCACGAGGGUGUUCUCCGGUCGUGCUUUGGUAUCGAGUCGAGCUGUGCAUGUGUGGGCAGGCACUCUGCGGGAUGACCACCGUGGAGACUACGUUUCGGGGCCUGCCUUGUGCUUCUCGGCUUUGUCCCAGGGCUGUACCUGAAGGGGAGCUUGCUCUUCUCAGAGUUGGCUUCACUCAUUCUUUGGGUCGUGCGCUUGUGUAUGGUCGGCUUGUACUUGCACGAGAAGCUGGUCUCAGCAGGGUGUCUCGGUGUGAUCUGUCUUGGUGGGUAACGACGUUUGCGAUGCUCGCUUCCCUCUGUAGGAGUUGCCUUGAUGGCAGGAGCGUGUGGGUAGUGGUGGCGGUACAUACAUUUCUGGGGCUCGUGUUAUGGCUUGGUAUGUGUUGCGUUUUCUCCAGAAAGUUGCAAAGAUGGCAGUAAGCUGUGCCACAGUGUCAUCACUGUGUAAUGUGUCGGGCUUUCCAGUCUCUUUUGCCACCAUUUUGGGGUUUGUUCAAGCCAUCCCGUGAUACUCCUGGGACCAGGAUAACCCCUGCCAGUCCAUGGGGGGGAAGGAGGGGAAUGAAGGCUUUUGAACCUGUUUCUAGCUGUGGAGGCUGCAGGGGAGCGGCCGUCUUCCCCAUGCCGCCCAUG